UACAGAGGUCUCAAGCGUUGUUCGGAUUCAUUGGGCGUAAAGGGUGCGUAGGCGGCGCGGUAAGUCUGAUGUGAAAGCUCUGGGCUUAACCCAGAAAUGGCAUUGGAUACUAUUCGGCUUGAGGUCUGGAGGGGGGACUGGAAUUCUCGGUGUAGCAGUGAAAUGCGUAGAUAUCGAGAGGAACACCAGUGGCGAAGGCGAGUCCCUGGACAGAUCCUGACGCUGAGGCACGAAAGCUAGGGGAGCAAACAGG
rnacentral:rRNA from 1 species